GUAGGUGAACCUGCGGAAGGAUCAUUAACGAACGAGGAAUUCAAUUUACUUGAAUUUCUUGGGAUCAACCAAAACCUGUAUGAUGAUGUAAAUUGUAUAUCGAUUAAUAAUUGUAUAUCGAUUAAUAAUUGUAUAUCGAUUAAUAAUCGUAUACGAAAAUAAUUUUAAUAAAAUACAAAACUUUCAACAACGGAUCUCUUGGCUCUU
rnacentral:misc_RNA from 1 species